AUUGAACGCUGGCGGCAGGCCUAACACAUGCAAGUCGAGCGGAUGAAGGGAGCUUGCUCCUGGAUUCAGCGGCGGACGGGCGAGUAAUGCCUAGGAAUCUGCCUGGUAGUGGGGGAUAACGUCCGGAAACGGGCGCUAAUACCGCAUACGUCCUGAGGGAGAAAGGGGGGGAUCAUCGGACCACACGCUAUCAGCUGAGCCUAGGUCGGAUUAGCUAGUUGGUGGGGUAAAGGCCUACCAAGGCGACGAUCCGUAACUGGUCUGAGAGGAUGAUCAGUCACACUGGAACUGAGACACGGUCCAGACUCCUACGGGAGGCAGCAGUGGGGAAUCUUGGACAAUGGGCGAAAGCCUGAUCCAGCCAUGCCGCGUGUGUGAUGAAGGUCUUCGGAUUGUAAAGCACUUUUAGUUGGGAGGAAGGGCAGUAAGUUAAUACCUUGCUGUUUUGACGUUACCAACAGAAUAAGCACCGGCUAACUUCGUG
rnacentral:rRNA from 1 species